AUUGAACGCUAGCGGCAGGCUUUACACAUGCAAGUCGAACGAGUGGCGGACGGGUGAGUAAUAUAUCGGAACGUGCCCAGUAGCGGGGGAUAACUACUCGAAAAAGUGGCUAAUACCGCAUACUAGUGGAGCGACCGACAUCGGAUUAGCUAGUUGGUGGGGUAAAGGCUCACCAAGGCAACGAUCCGUAGCUGGUUUGAGAGGACGACCAGCCACACUGGGACUGAGACACGGCCCAGACUCCUACGGGAGGCAGCAGUGGGGAAUUUUGGACAAUGGGGGAAACCCUGAUCCAGCCAUGCCGCGUGUAUGAGAAGGCCUUCGGGUUGUAAAGUACUUUCGGCAGAGAAGCGGUAUCUGCAGAAUAAGCACCGGCUAACUCCGUGCCAGCAGCCGCGGUAAUAC
rnacentral:rRNA from 1 species